rnacentral:lncRNA from 1 species
AAAUAUAUGCAUGCAUAACACACACACACACACACACACACACACACACACACACACACACACACACAUGCAAUUGCAAAACCUCCCAUUUGGGGCUGUGGUAUUACAAGCUUCUUGGUACCAGUGCCAAUGUCGUAUUCAUUUGGGAUUAAAAUCUUGUCUUCAGCUUUCAAAUUUCUUAUUCCUUCCCCAACUGUGGUCACUAAUACCCCUACAAUGUUUCUAAAUGCACAUGUUUUCUCCAUCAUUGGGAAAACCACCACAUUAGCGGUUUAUCACUUCUGAUAUAAAUGGCUAUUACAACAGAAUUCAAAAUCUCUAAGAAUUCUGAUUCUAAUCUAUUUUUGACAAUUAUUGCUGAAUACUUUAGCCAAUGUGCAGUCCUAUUUAUGUCUCUCUGCUGCCAACAAACCUGCUUCAGUUACCAAAUAUUAUUUGUACUUCUCUGGCUUGACACUGAAGCUUUCAUGUUUUUCUCUUUUUUUGUAUUGUAAUAUAAUUACAUCAUUUGUCCCUUCCCUUUCCUCUUUGCAAAUCCUCCCAUAUACCCCUUCUUGAUCACUCUCAAAUUCAUGGCCUCUUUUUUCAUUGGUUGUCAUUAUAUGCAUACGUGUCUAUGUAUGAGGCAUAUAUUAUACAUAUAUUCCUGAAUAUAAUCUGGUCAGUCCAUAUAUUAUUACUUUUAUACAUUUUCAGGGAUGACUGUUACUUAUUAUAUGAUCAGUUGGUGUAGUCUCUUGGGAAGGAUUAUUUCUCUCACACUCAGCAUUCCUUAGUUACCUGUAGUUCCUUGUUUAGGGUUGAGCCCUCUUGGGUUUUUCCCAGUCCAUUUACACACAUUGAUUGUUGUUGUACUUGUUCAGCUUGUGUUUAGGUAGUUAUGUUGUCGAGACUUUAUGGGUGUAGCUUCUGACAUUACUAGAAGAUAUAGUCUCAAAGCAAACUCCCUGAUCCUUUGACUCUUAGAAACUUUCCACCCCAUCUUCUGAAAUAUUCCCUGAGCCUUAGAUACAAGAGUUGUUUUGUAAAUGGCACUAAGUUCCAUAAAUCUGCAUUUGAUUGGCUGUUGUUUUCUCUAAUGCUCUUUACCUAUUGCAAGGAGAAGUUUCUGUAAUAGAUAGGGACAGUAUUUAUCUGUGGGUAUAAGGACAAAUAUUUUGAGGAAUUUUGCUGCUUUAGUAAAGUGGUUCUCCUCCGAGAUCCAUGACUUUACUAGCCCUAGAUAGUAGGCUAGGUUUCCAGUACCAGUCAAGAUUUCUUCUGUGUUCACUUGGAAGUGGGUCUUAAGUUCAAUUAGAGAGCUGUUGGUUACUGGCAAGGUAUGUGUGACACCACUGCACUCUUAGAGUUACUAUACAAUGCAGGUCAUUAUUGUAGGUCAUAGGCACUAUAACUACUUAGGAGGAGCCAUUGCUUCCCUCUUUUGGAAGCUUGCAUAGUGUAUUUAGUCCUCAGCUACAAUGAAGCAAAAUCAAAAUCAUCAAGUAGAUGCUAACUAUACUUAUUUUAUCUCACUUGUUAACUGUGAAAUAUGUUUUUAAAUUUUGUUUUUAAAUUAACUUAUUUAGUCUCUCUAUGUCUCUCUCUCUCUCUCUCUCUCUCUCUCUCUCUCUGUGUGUGUGUGUGUGUGUGUGUGUGUGUGUGUGUGUGUGUGUGUGUGUGUGUGUGUGUUCAUGUGUAGGUCUGAGGACAAGUUGAGAGAGUUGGUUCACUUUCUACUGUGUAGUUCAGAGGAUCAAAUUCAGAUCAGCUAUCUCCUUCUGUCAGUGGGCUCAAGGGAUGGAACUCAGGCUAUCAGGGUUGUCAGGCAAUGCCCUUAUAUCAUGAGUCAUCCCCUAAAUGAGCAGUCUUGAGGAAAUUGAUUCAGUCAUUCAAAGCUCAAUAUCACUAUCUGUUAAUCAUAUAUACACCUAAGAUUGUAAACCUGUUAUACAGAAGUAUAUUAUGUAUUGCAUGAAAUUUGGAUAAUACAAUAAUAUGCAAAAAUAUAUGGUUCUAUGGAAAAAUUAAGAGGGAUAAGAUACAUAAAAGCUUUUAAUGAACAAAUAUGAGGAACUGUGCUUGGAAAAGCUUUUCCCACAUACUUCAUGUGUGAACUCUUCUAAUCCCAAUUCUGAUGUCCUGUUUCCAAGAGGCCUUCCCUAAAUCACUAGGCUCUAUCAGGUCUUCUGCCCUGACCUCUUCACUGAUCCUCAUUUGCAGUGUCUGUCACACCUGUGUUCUAUUACUACCAUUGCUGACUGGAAGAACCUAGGACAUGGCGCCUCAACUGUGCCUUUCAAAAUACACAGGAAAUGUCUUCUUUGUAGCAGAUAUCUAAUAAAUUUGUAUUCGUGUCUUCAUAAAUUAUAUAUUUUUGGUAUGAAUCUAUCACCAUGUUAGCACAAACUCUGCCUCUUGCUUACAGGCACUUAAUGGUUGAAAGAGCAUGAGCAGAUGAACGAUUUAUUCUAAGGUAGUAGCAUGAAAAUCUAAAGAAGAAAUAAUAUGUGCUGAUUGCCAUGAUGAUAAUUUUAGAACAUGUCACCAAGUUUCAUUUACUCCUUCAGUCAAACACUGGGUUUAUUUCCCUUUCCUUAUAUUGAACCCUAGCAAAUGGAGAGCAGAAACUGUAAUAAUGUGCAGAUUUUAAAGCCUUGUCAUGCAAGACAACAUCUUUCACUUAGGACUCUCAUCAUUACAACAAAGCCAGUUUGAUGUUAGAAGACUUGGGCCAGACAGGUGCUCCAACCAAGCCAUUGUUGGAGUGCUUGCUGAUGGGAAACACAUUUCCAACUCAGAGCUGAAAAGGAGUUGACCCCGAAAUCUUAGCCUGUCCAGUGGAACAGAGAAUGGCAGUCUCACAGAGUCCUCCACAAACUGCAAAUUGAUGAGCAGACUGACUAUUGCCAUUCCUUUAAGGAACUAAUUGAGUUCUAUACAAAGCCAGAUGUGUAAUGCUUGAGACUAAUUUUUCCCUCAAAUCAAUAUAAUAAAUUUCCUAGUGAUAAGCUUUUAUGUAGAAGAGGAGAAACUGAGGCUUAAAGAGAGUAAGAAAAUGUUCCUAGUUACAGUGUAUAAUUGAGCUAGAGUUCAAGAUCUAGUCAAUGUAAGGCCAAAGAUCAUAUAUCUUUGUCUACCUUAGUGCUUGCUCUUAAAUUCUUUAGAAAAGCUUUCUAAUCAAUACCUUUAAAUCUUUUUUAGCAUUUCAAAGGGGGAAAAUACAAAACCUCAACACUUAAUGAAAGUAAGCAGUUAAUAAUACAAGUCACAUUUUGAAAAAUAGUGAAGACUUUUACCUCUUAUAUGCCCACGAAAACAUUGUGUCCUUAAACAAUUAUCAGAAACAGAUCAUCAACACAUUACAAAAAGCUGCAAAGUGUACUACAAUCCUUGGGAAUUUGAACCCUAAUCGGAUGAAGCCUGCUUACUUUGUUUGAAAUGUGUAUGCAUGCUCAUGAAGAAUUCACUAUAAAUUCCUUCAGUAUUGCCAGGCAUUGGUGGUUCACUUCUUUAAUCACAGCCCUAGGGAGGCAGAAGCAGGUAGAUUUCUGUGAGUUUGAGGUCAGCCUGGUCUACAGAGCUAGUUACAGGACAACCUCCAAAGUAAUACAGAGAAACCCUGUCUCAAAAAUAACAAAAUAAAAAAAUCCCUCUGUGUUUUUGAAAGAAUAGCAGUGGACAGAUGAUACUUGGAAAUGAAAGUAGCUGCUAACUUCUAUUUAGUGGGAAUCUGAAGGUGUAAAUAGGUAUCCCAGAGAUGAAUGAAUGAAUCCAUGACUCUAAAGAAUGUAAGGUAGGUCUUUUCAGUAGCAAGACAUCUUGAUCUUCAUUUUUAUACCUAUAUUUUGAGAGGACUACUAGAAAAAUAAAGUUCAUAGUCAAAAUGGUGGCACCUAUGAAUACAUUUGAGUUUUUCAAAUUCUCAUGCCACUUUCCUUUUGGAGAUCAGUCCGCCAAGGACAUUAUGCAAACCAGAAGUACUGGCUUAGGAGAGAAAGAACUACCUCAGGCCGAUUUACAUUAUGAGUGAAAAUGUACAUGUUAAAAUUUUCUUUUCCUUUGCAAAGCAGGAUAUGAUACAUGCAUAUUAAAAUGGACAGGGAAUUUGCAGAAUUUACAAGAGAUGUGAUUUGUCUGAACUGCUUUAUAAACUGUCUUUUUUGCAAAGCUCCAUGACCUCCCCUCCCCCAAAACUCAGUAUAUUGAAUUUGUAAUUAAAUAAAGGCAGUGGAGGUUGUCCUGGUAUAGAAGCUCCAAAAUGCAUUCCUAUGUUUCUCAAACAUCAUAACUGAAUCCCAAAGUCAUAAGUGAGAUCAGGGGUGAGGCAAAGGAGAGUAAGAAACACUGACUCAACCAGUAAGAAGAAGACAGAAAUACAUGAUACAAACUGAACACAUACAAUGUACGAAACAUAAGAGUCUCAUUUCAUAGUGCCUGGAACAUAGCAUUGUAUAAUACAAAGACAAGCCUCUGACAUAAGCAACACUGCACUGAAAGAUGCAAAUGUUUGCUCUCCCAUUUCCCUUACCAUGAUAAUAGAACACCAACAAUGUAUGAGAGAGCCUUGGUCAGAAAGAACAGCACUUUCAAGCUGUCCUGGUUUAGACAUAUAACUAAAUAAAUUCUAGCCAAGGGAAUGGAUGAAUUGACAAUAGAUAAGUGAAUGAUAAAGUAGUAACUUUUGAAGAAUGUAUAAUAGACAUACGCAAAUCUUUGUAACAUUUUAAUAGCCUUCUAGAAGUCUAAAACUGUAUAAAAUAAAAAAGUUUUAAAAUCUGUAGUUCUCUUUUUUAGUUGUAUCUUUGUUUGGCUUGGGUAUCAAAGUAAGUGUAGCCUUGUAAAAACAGUUUGCCAAUGUCCCUUCUGCUUCUAUUGUGUGGAACAAUUUGAGGAGUACUGGUAUUAGCUCUUGUUUGAAUUUCUGGUAGAAUUCUGCAGUGAAUUCUGGCCCUGUGCUUUUUUUGGUUGGGAGACUUUUGAUGACUGCUCCUAUUUCAUUAGGGGUUAUAGGUCUAUUUAAACUGCUUAUCUGUUCUUGAUUUAGUUUUGGUAAGUAAUAUCUAUCCAGAAAAUUGUCCAUUUCCUUUAGAUUUUCGAAUUUUGUGGAGUACAGGUUUUCAAAGUAUGACCUGAUGAUUCUCUGGAUUUCCUCAGUGUCUGUUGUUAUAUUCCCCUUUUCAUUUCGGAUUUUGUUAAUUAGCAUGCUCUCUCUCUGCCUUUUGGUUAGUUUGGAUAGAGGUUUGUCUAUCUUGUUGAUCUUCUCAAAGAACUAACUCUUGGUUUCAUUUGUAAUGUUUUCCUAGUUUCUACUUUAUUCAUUUCAGCCACCAGUUUGAUUAUUUCCUGGCAUCUACUCCUCCAUGGAAUGGUGCAAUUGGGUGUUAUUCCCACAGAAACAGCUGGCCUGAAAAAGGGGGAGCACAUGGACCCCAGACUGAUGUAUGGGAAGCCAGCACGGGACUGAUCCAGACCCCUGAACGUGGAUGUCAAUGAGGAGACCUCAGCACUCUAUGGGGCCCCUGGUAGUGGAUCAGUAUUUUUCCCUGAUAUAAGAAGGGACUUUGAGAGCCCAUCCCAUGUAAAGGGGUGCUUUCUUGGACUCUACACAUGGGGGAGGGUCUAGGCCCUGCCCAGGAUGAUGUGGUGGGCUUUGGGGAGCCCCCAUGGAGGUUAAGGUCUUACCCUCCAUGGAGAGCAAGGGGGUGUAGAAUGGGUUGGCUGGUGUGGG